CCUACGGGUGGCAGCAGUGAGGAAUAUUGGUCAAUGGACGAGAGUCUGAACCAGCCAAGUAGCGUGAAGGAUGACUGACCUAUGGGUUGUAAACUUCUUUUAUAUGGGAAUAAAAUGUUCCACGUGUGGGAUUUUGUAUGUACCAUAUGAAUAAGGAUCGGCUAACUCCGUGCCAGCAGCCGCGGUAAUACGGAGGAUCCGAGCGUUAUCCGGAUUUAUUGGGGUUAAAGGGAGCGUAGGUGGAUUGUUAAGUCAGGUGUGAAAGUUUGAGGCUCAACCGUAAAAUUGCAGUUGAAACUGGCAGUCUUGAGUACAGUAGAGGUGGGCGGAAUUCGUGGUGUAGCGGUGAAAUGCUUAGAUAUCACGAAGAACUCCGAUUGCGAAGGCAGUUCACUGGACUGCAACUGACACUGAGGCUCGAAAGUGUGGGUAUCAAACAGGAUUAGAUACCCGAGUAGUC
rnacentral:rRNA from 1 species